GGUCGGUCGCCGCCCCAGUAACCGUAGGUUGCGGAGGAACUCGGGCGCCAGGGGCAACGGAGCUUUGAGGAAAUCUCUCUUCUCUGUGGCCAGACUGUUCACCUUCCAGUGGCUGAACUCCCUGGAAUAAUGAAUACAGGUGAUCUGGUGGCAGAGUGCUUCAUACAUAGCUCACUUGUCACAUCAUGAUUCAAAGUCAUAAUAUGAACAGUGGUAGAAGAAAUCCUGUAAAUAGAAUAUGAAUAGCCAGGCAGCCAAUAAGUGGCUGCGCGAAGCAACGCGGACCCCCCGCGGAGCAGGCACACGACGCAUCAGCUGCUGGUGGGAAGAGAACAGCUCAGCUUGGCACGCAUUCAUCAGACGUCAGAUGAUGCCAAACGAUGAGCUGCGACCUCAGCGGACUCUAAAAGACACGCCCUUCCACAGCAAACCUGCUCUCUUCACAUGACCCCCUGCGGUGUUCAUGGAAAGAGUGCCCCGAAGACGCCCGGUAUCUGUCCAAGGUGCACCUUUUAGCACCAGGCAGCAAAGUGGCCCCUGGCGUCUCCUUAAAUCACAGCAAAAAGGCAGCUGCAACAUACUCUCACAGCCUAAACAUUGGGAAAUCCUGGAUCUGGAACAAGCCAAUAAUUAUUAUAAAAUGAGUGAUUGCCUCAGGUUUCGGCACAAAAUAAACACGGCUAAUCUUAAUUUUCCACCUUCCAAAGGGAAAAUCCGCUUCUCUGUUGACGUAACCAUCCACCCACAUCCUAUUAAAAUGUUUAAAACGUUUGUGAAUGUGAGCUUUUUGGAAAUACAAAUAAACAUGCUGUGUUUACUGCACAGCCACUAUGGCCUUAACUUAUCACCAUACUGGAUCUGCAAGCAACUCAUUUCCCCUG